GGAUUCUGGACAUAUUUUAAAGUUGCAACUGGUAGGUUUUUCACGUGGAUUGGUGUGUGUGUGAAGAUUCCAAGGUGAUUAAUGUGUGUGUGUGUGUGAAGAUUCCAAGGUGAUUAAGUAGUUAAUCUCAGUGGGGAUUGUCAGUAGAAAAAUAUGGGAGACCCCUGUAAGUUAAUGGUUACUCGAGAAAGCAGGUUUGCUUAAGCACAGAACCAAGCAGGCUUGCUUAGCAACAAAACCAGGCACAGAAGCAGGAGACAUGCCCCACAACAAUAAAAAAACUGUGGCAUGAGCCCCACAUCUUGCCCAGUGAACACAGUAAGUUACUGAUCCCUAGGACAUGCUCUCUGCACACAUAAAAAAAUAAUUUGUGGACCUAGUUUGACCACACAGGGACAAGAAAACUCCCCUGUACAACCCGGAGGAUGAACUAAUGAUGAAAACAUGACUCAAGGAAGACAAAGAAGGUCUUCUCCCCCUCCCCACUUAUCCUUUGACUGUAAAACUGUAGCCCAGUAAGUUCUCGGGUGUGGCAUUCCUCACCUGUCCACUUGCAAGCUUCACAAGCAUCCUAUUCUAAUAAAUCACUUCUCAUCUACCACUCUGCUUUCGCCGAAUUCUUCUCUGCACUGAGACAUCAAGAACUAUGGUACUGGAGCUCUUCAGAGCCCUGGAAAAGACACCAUAUACCGGUUUCAGUCUGAGCAGCUGGAAAGGAAAGAGCUGACAUUGUCUAAGCUGAGUCUAUGGAAGGAGCAGGUUUGUAUCAGAAUCAGAAGUUCUGUUUUGGACAUAUUUAAAACUUACUACAUUUUAAAAACUUUAUUUUGAAAUAGUUUCAAAUUUAGGAUAAAGUUAUAAGAGCACUUGGCUUCCUUACAUUCUCUUCUGUGUGUGUGUGUGUGUGUGUGUGUGUGUUCUCCUCCCAAACCAGUUGAGAGUAACUUGCACAGAUCAAGCCCUUUUACACUGAAAUACCUCAGUGAGUAUCUCCUAAGAAGGAAAGUAUUACAUAUCCAUAAUGCAAUGAUUAAAA
ensembl:lncRNA